rnacentral:rRNA from 1 species
CGGACGGGUGAGUAACACGUGGAUAACCUACCUAUAAGACUGGGAUAACUUCGGGAAACCGGAGCUAAUACCGGAUAAUAUAUUGAACCGCAUGGUUCAAUAGUGAAAGACGGUUUUGCUGUCACUUAUAGAUGGAUCCGCGCCGCAUUAGCUAGUUGGUAAGGUAACGGCUUACCAAGGCAACGAUGCGUAGCCGACCUGAGAGGGUGAUCGGCCACACUGGAACUGAGACACGGUCCAGACUCCACGGGAGGCAGCAGAU